UUUCCGUAGGUGAACCUGCGGAAGGAUCAUUAUUGCAUAACCGAGGUGCGAGGGCUGUCGCUGACCCGAAAGGUCGUGCACGCCCGAGUGCCCUCACACACAUCCAUCUCACCCCUAUGUGCACCACCGCGUGGGUCCCCCUUUGGCUUGUUCGGAGGGGGGCUUACGUUUUCACACAAUCUUUGUAUGCAGUGUAGAAUGUAUUUUUUGUUUUUGCGAUCACGCAAUCAAUACAACUUUCAACAACGGAUCUCUUGGCUCUC
rnacentral:misc_RNA from 1 species